GCUAUUUUCUCGAAAUAUCUUUUUUAAAAAAAAGGAGUUGAUUUUGUUCUUCAUUGCUUCCAUUUCUUCUUCGUUCUUCGUUUUUCUUGUUCUUGUUUCUUCAAUUUUCUUUCGCCGGAAAUUUCUCGACUGCGAUCGUAACUGACUUUAAUUCGUUGCCCUAAACCCUCGGAGAAAUUAGGUUUUAAUUGUUUGGUUUUGAUUGAAUCUCGUUCUUGAGUUGAAACAGAGGAACGAGCCCUAGGUUUUGGAUUGGAGGAUGGGAGAGGAAGUGAAGAUGGCGGAAUAUGAGAGCGGUGGUGGUGACGAUGAAAACUGUGCUCAUGAGGAGCGAGUAUUUGAAUGGGAAACGGGUUUGCCUGAUGCCGACGAUCUCACUCCUCUGUCUCAGACUUUGAUUCCGCCGGAGCUUGCAUCAGCAUUCAGUAUAUCGACAGGGCCAUGUCGGACACUGAUGGAUGUUAAUCGAGCGUCGCAGAAUACGCUAUCGAAUCUUCGUGGAUUUCAAGCACAAGCGUUCUCAUCGAAUAAUUUCAAGUCAUUUAACGAUGAUCGAACUCGGGAUCAUGAUCCGACGGUGGUUGAAGGAGAUGAGGCAACGGAGAGGGAUGCAGGGUCGGAUUCUAGGAAAUUGAGGAAGGUUGAUUGUACGGAGGAGGCUGAUUCGGCUCUUCGGAUGGAUAAUUCGAUGGAUGAUCCAUCGGCUCGGACUUUGAAGAGACCGAGGCUUGUAUGGACGCCGCAAUUACACAAACGGUUUGUGGACGUUGUUGCUCAUCUUGGAAUUAAGAACGCAGUUCCUAAAACUAUUAUGCAGUUGAUGAACGUGGAAGGAUUGACUCGGGAGAAUGUUGCGAGUCAUCUUCAGAAAUAUAGGCUUUACUUGAAGAGGAUGCAGGGAUCUUCCAACGAGGGCCCGUCGUCACCGGACCGGAUUUUUGCAUCCACGCCUGUACCACAGACCUUGCACGAGUCUACCAACAGUGGGAAUGUCAACGGAAAUGGCCAUUUGCCGGUUCCGACUCCAAUGCCGUAUGGACCGCCGAUGAUGCCGAUGCCGGUUCUUGGCAUGGCAGCGUCUGGUCAUGCUCACAGUUAUAUGGGUAUGCCGAUCGCUCAUCCGGGAAGCGCACAGGGAUACCCUGGCUUUGAAACGCAUCCUUUCAAUAUGAUGCAUCAGAGAGAUUGGUCGGGGAACAAAUACAGCUCGAUCGUGCCUUACCCUCAUCCUCAUGUACCUCCUAAUUCUAAUGAUAAGUGAAUUCCCGCUAAUUCUCAGGUGUGAUCUAAGAUGCAUGACACUGUAGUUACAGGAGGCAAGAGAUGGUCUAAUCUCAUCAAAUUGAAAAACUUGCCCAUCACCUCUGGUGAAUUAUAGAAGUACCAAAGGGCACACCAAAUGAUCCUUGUCAGUGGAAUGGAUAUGUGUGUUGUUGAUUCUCUCCUUCUUAGGAUGACAUGAAAGAUGUCACUCUGGAAGGAAUUUGCUUUCGAUAAGGUCUCUGACAUAAACAGGGGGCACCCAGAUUGAUGAUACGCAACAUGUACCCAAACGUUUCCUAUCAAUUAUAUUAUUACGUUGUCUAUCAGUUUGGAACCUUUUGUUGGAGAGAACUGUCUGUCAGACAGUUUCAGCUGAAGGACAUAUGAAAUUUUGACAAAACAACAUAAAAAGGCUCCAUAGAACUAUCAAAGAACAUAUGUCCAAACGAAACCUCAAUUCUAUCUGUCUUGAAGAGCCUGCCAUCAAUGUGCUGUAAGUUUUGAAGUAUAUAUUUUGUCCUUCCGAAAAAUUUUAGUAGGACGGGAGUACCAUAGCCCCUUUCUCUAUGCUAGAAAUUUUUCUUCAUAAAUAAUUUUUUUAUGCUAGUGCAUCUCAAACUAUAUUUAAAAACAAACGAUAAAUGGAGGUGAUAUGGAAAAUGAAAAUUUUCCCUUCAAUGUCAAGACAAUUAGGCCAAAAAUAUAGUUAAUUCAAGUAUAGUUCAAGUAGAUAAGACCAAUUAUCAUUCUAUACAUUGAUUGUUCAAUCCUUUACCCAUGUUUGAACUCGAAAUAGAAUAUAUAGUGGAAUAUAAUACAAAAUAUCAUAGGCAUUGCUUAAAUUUUUAAAAGUUUUGAAUGGAACAGGUGAUAUGAGAAUUUAGAGACUAAAUUUAUAACUUAUAUUCAAUUCUCAAAACAUAUAUUUUCUCUAUUUUUGUUUUUUAGAAUAAUAGGAAAGGAAAUUUGAACUAUAAACCUCUUGAUCGCUAAUAUAUACUAUAUGUCAAUUGAAUUAUGCUAGCUUUGGCAAAACAUGCAUUUUCUAUAUUGUGCUUCAACUUUUGUUCACACUAGAUUUUUCUUUAUAAACAUUAGUGGAUUCCACAUCAGUGUUAGUGGAUCUCAUUCUAUUUUUAAAAGCAUGUUGACAGGAUACAAUAAAUGUAGGCAGUAUGAAAUUACACUCGUGGUAUUAGAAAUUUGCCUGUGUCUCAGUAUUGGAGAAUAAUUUUGCAUAAAAUAUUCAUCUUAAUUAGCAUCAUUAUCUAUUUCAGAUUUUUCUUAACAAGUGGUCUAUCUUUUACUCACUUGUAAUAACACAAGGAAAAGUAUGGUUGAAUUAUAAGGAAAAUUACCCAAACUAACUUAAAAUCCAAAAACUUCUACUUAAUUGACAUUUUUUUUUUUGAAAACAUGUUUCUUCAACCUUUUGAAGAUGUAAACACCUAUUUUGCCCUCAAUUUUAAAUGAAACACUUCUCGCUUCUCCCUUAUGGAUAUUUGUUUCAAUGGUUGGGUUUGGGAUGGGUUAGGCAUCCUGAGCCCAACCCUUGUUUGGGGCAAGGGUUUAAGAAGUCAAGGUUUCUUACAUUUUUUCCAUGGGUUACACUUUUUUUUUCUAAUUGAGCUUAAGGAAGUUUGUACAUAAUUUUAGUUUGUAAGUUUUUAUUGUUAGUUUUCAGUUGUAAAAAUAGAAACUAUAUUCUGUUAUUUUUUUAAAUUUAGUUGUAAAAACAAAAGCUAUAUUUUGUUUUCCCCUCUAUAAAUAA